UAAAAUUUGAUGGACUCACGACACUCGUGGCACACCAAUCUCACUUCCCAAACCCUAGGUAGAAACCCUAGGGUACACACCAAAAAACCUUGCGCCCAAUUUUCUUUCUUUUCUUUCUUUUUCUCUCGAAAGGUUUUGGACCUUCACCUCAUGCACAAGGCUUCCUCAUGCCCCACUUUCUUUCUCAAAAUUUUUUUACGCACACCCC
rnacentral:lncRNA from 1 species